rnacentral:tRNA from 1 species
AGCACGAUGGCCGAGUGGUUAAGGCGUUGGACUUAAGAUCCAAUGGAAUUAAUUCCGCGUGGGUUCGAGCCCCACUCGUGCUA